UUCGCCUCCUCCGCCUCCUUCGCCUCCUCCGCCUCCUUCGCCUCUCCCUCUCCGGUGUGUAACCUUCUUCUCGCUUCUCGCAAAUUUGUCCCUUCAAAGCUGUAAUCCAUGGUUUCCAAUGGCUAUCCUUGUUGUAUCUGGAUCAAGAGUCGUUUAUCGACCGUGGUUAAGCUUUUUAUCCACAAUAUCGCGCUUUGUUCGAAGCUCUCAAAUCCAACCCUAGACUAUAGUAAUUCCACUUAUGCUUACAAAAUACCCGAAUUUCUAAACUAAACUCGCAAAUUUCAUUAUCUAAAACCUAACCCUAACUCUUUCUGCUAGCCGAUUGAUUCUACUCAACUGCCGCUGAUUUUGCGAUGUUAGUUCACAAACCUAAUUCCAGAAUGCCUUAGUGGAAGUACAGUGAGGUCAACAACACUAUAAGACAAAGUCCAGAUUUAGAUUUUAAAACAUUGGAAAAGACUAUUCCUUGCUCUUGCUUGUUGUUCCUCCUUGCAGUUCACGGGUUUCGUAAAUUUGGACCAACCGGACUCUUAUUGCUCCUCUGCUCCUGUGGAGAGGGCUAACCUGAGAAGCAAAAUGUAUUCUUAGGGGCUUUUUACAGCAAAAUUCGGAAAGUUAAUUUGAAAGGUUUUCGUUUGUGGAGUUGAAUAUCUGAUUACACCGCCACUAUUUAUAGUAGAUUUUCAAUCAGAUAUUGUGGUUUGUUCUAUGCCCCUUCGAAAAAAAAACAAAGUGUCUUGGAAGUAUGAAGAUCUAACAAAACGUUUCAGAUUCCAAGAGCAGAUCCAUUAUUGUUAUGUUCAAUUAAAUUUAAAAUAGAUCUGAUUUAUUACGAUGUAUUAGUAGUAUUGCAGGUUUGCUUCUCGAUUAUUUAUUAAUAUGUAAUUAAUUCAAAUUUAAAAUGUAACAGAAAACAUAGAUGCUAAACCUCCUAGAUAUCUGUAAAACAAUAUAAACAGCAUUUAGUACUCCUGGAUUGAGUCUACCUAGU